GUUGGUCCAAAGUUAACUAGCUUCCCCUGCGGGCAAGUCUUCUUAAGGAGACCAGACUGCUUUCGGGUAAUUCAAAAUGGCUCCUCUCUCUUUGUUCUGCAGUUAUUGUGAGAGGAUUUUUCUCAGCUAUUUCCUGUGUGAAUCUGGUCUAGACCCUGGAAGGAAAUCCCCAGGGUUGUGGGGGUCCCCCUCUGCCUGAGUCCCCCUGGAGUUUGUCAAUAGAGUUGUCCACAUUGAGCCUGUGGCAGUUCGUCGAUUACAGUUCUUGUUUUCCUUCGUUGACGCUGGUCCCUGUGGUGGCUUCUGCUUGCUCCCCUCUGCUUGGGAACACCUGGACAAUUUUUCUUCUUAAGAAACAUAAUGGAGACAUUUGAUCAGUCACUAAAUCGUGUCCAACUCGUUGCAACACCAUGAACUGAGGAACACCAAGUUUCCUUGUCCUUCACUAUUUCUGGGAGUUUGCUCAAUAAGUCAACGAAAUAAACCUAAAACCCCACUAAAUCAAAUCCUCUGUUAUUAAUGAAGGUGGCAAAGUGGUAAAAAAUCUGCCUACCAAUGCAGGAGAGAGGGGCUCAAUCCCUGGG